rnacentral:tRNA from 1 species
GAAGCGGUGGCUCAAUGGUAGAGCUUUCGACUCCAAUUAUCGAAGGGUUCCAGGUUCAAUUCCUGUCCGUUUCA